AUAAAUACACCCAGAUCUAAAUAAAGACAUUGACCAAAACCAAUCAAUAGUCAAGUGCACUGCUUCUCUCCUGCUUUUCAUUUGUUGUCUUCUGCUUCAACUUCAAUAAUAAAGUGCUUUUCGUUAGAUCGUGAAUGCUUUUAUUGAGAAGGUAGUUGAUAUUGGCUUAAAGAAGUUCAAAAGUAUUAGGGACUUUGAUGAGAAUAUGGAAACUCUGGAAGAAAUGUUAAGUAAUUAUCAGACAAAGUGCUCGAUGUGAAGACAGAGGUUGAGAAUCGAGAGCCAUUUGGGAGGAAUAGGAAAAAGGAAGUUGAUUCUUGGUUUGACAAAAUUAUGAAGGUUGAAGAAGUAUUACGUGUGUUAAAUGAAUAAGUAACAAUAGGGAAGAGAAGUGCAGCUGCUUUGCAGAAAAUGAGUGGAAUGGUUGGAGAACUUCUUGAGCAAAGUAAACAUUUUGGAGUGCUCUUACAUGAUUUGUAUGAGAGCGAGGAGUGUCUACUUUUGGCAGCGCAUGUUCAUGUGGAAACCUCAAAACAAAAUUUAGAAAAAAACUGGAUGUGCCCAAGCAUCGAUAUAUAUGGUAUGGGAGGUGUAGGAAAGACGACUUUGGCAAAGCAUAUACAUAAUCAUCUUGUUAAUGAAAUUCGUUAUUAACUCUCUUGGGUUAGUUUCUCAAGGGUUUAGCAUUAAAAUAUUACAAGAUGAUCUUCCCAAAAUUGUGAAUCUGGACCUUUCAGAUGCGGUAGACAAACAAAGAAGGGCACCCAUAUUAAAUCGUGCAUUCAAAAAGAGGAAUAACAUUUUUAUCAUUUUGGAUGAGGUCUGGGAUCCUCUUUGUUUGGAGGAGUUGGGUGACCCUCUUGAUGUGGAGGGCUGUAGACUAAUUCUAACUCUUCGCUCGUACGAAGUUUACGAAAAGAUGGGUUGUUAGAAACUACUUGAAGUGGACAAACUCAAGACUCAUGAUGCUUGGGAGUUGUUCAGGAAGAGUCUAGGAUGCGAGACUCUGCUUAGUCCAGAUAUCGAGCCAAUUUCUAAAUCCAUGGAAGGAAGGUGCAAGGGCUUGCUAUUUGGGCUCAUCACUUUGGCGGGAAGCAUUAGAGGGGUGACUGAUAUAAGGGAUUGAAAGAAUGCUUUGAAAGAAUUCCCCGAUGGCAUGGAAAAUGAUGUCUUCAAGGUACUGCAUUAUAAUUAUGAUCGGUUAAAAGCUAAAGAUUUGCAAGAGUGCUUCUUGUACUGAUGUGCUUUGUAUCCUGAGGACUAUACUACUAAUAGAAAGAAACUAUUUGGUAGAUUUUCAUGGAGGGGCUGGUGAAGAAAAUAGUCGGGAAGAAGAGUUUAACCAGGGCCAUACCAUAUUGAAUAAACAGUGAAACUCUGCUUACGUGAUGCAAUUGAUGGCACAGAAUGUACUCUUGGGCGUUAUGAAGCAAUAAAGAUGCAUGAUUUACUCAGAGAAAUAGCAUUGCGGAUCACAAAUGAUAAACCAAGGUACAUGGUAAGGGCUGGAAUAGGAUCACAAGAGCCCAAGGAACAAGAUUGGGCAUUCGAUUUGGAUAAAGUCUCUUUUUACGACAGCAAGAUAAAGGGAAUCCCUGAAGACAUGACACCCAAUUGCCCCACAUUAUCAACCUUCUUUUGGUAAGAUUGUAGUUUGAGAAGGAUCCCGAAAUCUUCUUUAAGCAUAUGAACAACCUGCAAGUACUUGGCUAUGUAGUUAAGUUAUGAUAACUUAUUCGAUUGUUAAGACCUUGCCUUCUUUAUUGGGGAUGUUUCUGGAGGACCACAAAAUUGUGGUGUCUAAACUGACAACUUUGUGGAUGGGGAAGGUUUUGUGCAGAACAUUGGAUCUGGGAGUUUGGAAAAGGCAGCUGAAGAAUACUUGAAGGAGCUCAUUAGCAGUAACAUGGUAAUGGUUUCAAGGAGAAGAUAUAAAGGAAAAAACAAAAUACUCUCUGGUUCAUGAUGUAGUGCAUCACUUUUGCUUGGAGAGGAGUAGAGAAGAAAAGUUUCUGAUGGUAGUGAAAGGGGAUUAUAGCUACUUUCAUCCUUCUAAAUGGAAGGAAAACCAAUUCAGCCUUGGUUUCAUGGAUAAAUAUUUCAAAAUACAACUGCCUUCCAAUUAGGGAGAACCUUGGGAUUGUGAUAUCUUCCAUCAGUGCCUUUCAUAAGAUCGUGGACACUUUACUUGAGAAGGUACUUGAUUUUGGCUUAAAGAAGUUCAAAAGUAUUAGUGAUUUCAUUGAGAAUAUGGAAACUCUGGAAAGAAAUGUAAAGCAAUUAUCAGAUAAAGCCCUCGAUGUGAAGACAGAGGUUGAGAAUCGAAAGCGAUCUGGGAAGAAGAAGAGGAACAGGGUAGUUGAUUCUUGGUUUGACGAAGUUAUAAAGGUUGAAGAAGUAUGACAUGUGUUAAAGGAAGAAGCAACAAGAGGGAAGAAAAAUGGAGGUGCUUGGACAAGAUGAAUGGGAUGGUUGAAAAACUUGAGCAAAGUAAACAUUUUGGAAUUCCUGUACAUAAUAUGUAUGAGAGUGAGGAGUGUCUACUUCGGGCACCGCAAGUUCAUGAGGAAGCACCAAAACAAAAUUUAGAAAAAAUUUGGACAUGGUUACAGGAUGAUGUCUCAAGCAUUGGUAUAUAUGGUAUGGGAAGUGUAGGCAAGACGACUAAUUACAUCUACAAGUAGUGAACUUCCAGAGCUAAAAGUGCUCUACCUAGGCGGACGGCUUGAAUUGACGAGAAUAUGUGAGGUAAAAUUGAUCUGUGAUUCCCUCGAAUCGAUGACCUGCCUCGGCUGCUGCAAGCUGAAGAGGAUGCCUUUGUAUGCUUCCAGUACAAAUGGACAUCCUUUCCAUCCCUUAGAGAAAUCUGUGUUGAAGAAUAUUGGUGGAAACAUUGGAAUGGGACCAAUCCUAUGUCUAAGACCCUCUUCCAACGUUGUAUUACUUUAAAGGAAACAUUUGUUUUGUUUAAUUUUGUUCCUCAAAACAAACAUGUUUUAGAUUCAGCUUCAUGUUAAGCAGAGGCUAACUGGUUGUUCAGCAAUGAUCAAUAUUUCUUGUUUUAA